CCUACGGGUGGCAGCAGUGAGGAAUAUUGGUCAAUGGGCGAAAGCCUGACCCAGCCAUGCCGCGUGCAGGAAGAAGGCUCUAUGAGUUGUAAACUGCUUUUGUACGAGGGUAAACAAAGACACUAGUACCUGCUUGAAAGUCUCGUACGAAUAAGGAGCGGCGAACUACGUGACAGCAGCCGCGGUAAUACGGAGGAGCCAAGCGUUAUCCGGAUUUAUUGGGUUUAAGGGGUGCGUAGGCGGUUUAGUAAGUGGGCGGUGAAAUUCUGGGGCUCAACACCAAGCGUGCCGUUGAUACUGCUGAGCUAGAGAGUAGUAGGGGUAGGCGGAAUGUAUGGUGUAGCGGUGAAAUGCUUAGAGAUCAGACAGAACACCGAGUGCGAAGGCAGCUUACCAAACUAUAUCUGACGUUGAGGCACGAAAGCGUGGGGAGCAAACAGGAUUAGAUACCCUUGUAGUC
rnacentral:rRNA from 1 species